AUUGAACGCUGGCGGAAUGCUUUACACAUGCAAGUCGAACGGCAGCACGGGGGCAACCCUGGUGGCGAGUGGCGAACGGGUGAGUAAUACAUCGGAACGUGCCCGGUCGUGGGGGAUAACGUAGCGAAAGUUACGCUAAUACCGCAUACGAUCUGAGGAUGAAAGCGGGUGACCUUCGGGCCUCGCGCGAUCGUAGCGGCCGAUGUCAGAUUAGGUAGUUGGUGGGGUAAAGGCCUACCAAGCCGACGAUCUGUAGCUGGUCUUAGAGGACGACCAGCCACACUGGGACUGAGACACGGCCCAGACUCCUACGGGAGGCAGCAGUGGGGAAUUUUGGACAAUGGGCGCAAGCCUGAUCCAGCCAUUCCGCGUGAAGGACGAAGGACUUCGGGUUGUAAACUGCUUUUGUAUGGAACGAAAAGGAUCUGGCUAAUACCUGGGGAUCAUGACGGUACCGUAAGAAUAAGCACCGGCUAACUACGUG
rnacentral:rRNA from 1 species